rnacentral:rRNA from 1 species
UGGGGAAUAUUGCACAAUGGGCGCAAGCCUGAUGCAGCAAUGCCGCGUGUGUGAAGAAGGCCUGCGGGUUGUAAAGCACUUUUAUCGGGAAAGAAAAACCUAAGGUUAAUACCCUUGGACUUGACGGUACCCGAGGAAUAAGCACCGGCUAACUCCGUGCCAGCAGCCGCGGUAAUACGGAGGGUGCGAGCGUUAAUCGGAAUUACUGGGCGUAAAGCGAGUGUAGGCGGCUACGUCAGUCGGAUGUGAAAGCCCCGGGCUUAACCUGGGAAUUGCAUUCGAUACUGCGUGGCUAGAGUCUGGUAGAGGGAAGUGGAAUUCCAGGUGUAGCGGUGAAAUGCGUAGAUAUCUGGAGGAACAUCAGUGGCGAAGGCGGCUUCCUGGACCAAGACUGACGCUCAGGCUCGAAAGCGUGGGUAGCAAACAGGAUUAGAUACCCCCGUAGUCC